GGGUCUGAGUCAGGGUCCGGGGGUUUGUUGGGUUUGUUUACCGCUGGGUACUUUGGGUUUUUUUUAGAGGGGGGAGGGGUAAUUACAAUGGUGGGGAAAACAAACAGAGGAUGGAGCGAUAUGAGACUUGGCUUGUGGUCACAUGGGAGCUAUUUAUUCAUUACUGGUCCAAUGAGAACCUUUGUUUUCUUUGCUGUAGGAUGUUUAGAUGAGGAGGUGCAGACAACAAAUAUAUGUGGAUCGGUAAAUCUGCUGAUUCAUAAGAAGGCAAUGGAAAAAGUGGAAGUCUUCUUUUCUCAUGAUGCACUUAAAAUUACCCCCAUGAACUCAGGCUGAACUGCCUGGCUCUGCAGAGGUUUUAUGAUCUAAGUAUCAUGGUCAGUCAACCCAAACCAGCGCUGGUUGGCAGAGUGGCGUCGAGUGCGGUGAGAGUCUGGACAUCGUCUUACCCGGUCCAGCCUGGUGUAUCUCAGAGUUUUCCCCGGGGGGAAGUGCAGCGCGGAUGGGGGGGGGGGGGGGAGGGGGAGGGGGAGGGAAGUUGGCAAUCCCCCUCUCUCACGCACCCUCUGGAUUAGAACAUUGGAAAUCACAAGUAGAGAGCCGGACAAAAAUACCCUCAGUGACUACAACCCCCUCCUCCACCCUGUUUGACCCGGGGUCAUCGGCUCGGCAGUGACCCCUGCUAACCCGCAGCUCCGCUCGCAGGGAUCGACUUGUGGUGUCAGUGGAGUUGUUUACAUAUGGAGAUGGUGCAGAAGAAAAUGAAGAAGGAAAACACAGCAAUUAAUCAGAAAGGGAAAUUAACUUAAUAGGGAACACUGCAGGCAUUGCAGUGCAAUUUCAACUGGACAGUGUGCAGCGAUUCAUCUUUUGACAAACAACUCAUGGCUUUCUUUUACAAAUACGUCAUACAAUAAACAGGCAUGGAAGUCAGAUUUUGUCAAGCAUUAAUCACAGGUUUGCUUUCCAACAGUAACCUAAUCUGACAAUCCAUUAAAAAUUCAGCUUUUAAUUUGUUUUCUGCAAUGUCUUGUGUCCCUUGCUUAUCAAAUAUCAAUCUAGUAAAAGGGAAUUUUCUGUAUUUUUCUGAACCCCCUAAUGCUUUUCCCUUUCAGAUUAUUUAACUUGCUUAUUUGCAGCACAAGCCAAGUUAGUAUUUGAUGCACAAGCCCUCAUGUAGCUCAUGUUUGCCAGUGGCUGUAUUAAUUCAGUGUAAUGCUGCAGCAUUAGAAUAAUGAACGCUUCAGCAGCUGGGCCUCCCUUUUUCUCUGACUCUCUCUUUCUGUUUUUGUCCUCUCAACAGCUUCUCUCACGUGGUUCUCACACCCCAAUACCUCACGCUUUCAAUCACGCCCAUGAGGUUUGCGUAUGUCACAAUGGCUUGCACCAAUUCCCCAGAGUCUCCCUCUAGUCAUUCUCAUGUUGCUGCAUGGAACAAGGAGGGUUUGUGUUUGAAUUUAACGUGCUAAUUAGCAAAGAGAAUGCGCAUUACUGUUUAUUUUUGUUUAUGUUGUACAUGUGACCUUGUACAGUAGAUGUUUAUAAUCAAGCAUUUACACUUGAAUUUGCUCUAAUCUGUCUUAACUUUUCAUGUGUGGUUCAUGAACACACUGGUUUGUUUACAUGUGACACAUGGUUGGCUUUAUCCACAGCAGUAAGCCUGUUUAUUAAGAGUGCAUGACUGCUUGGCAAAGUGUUGAUGCCUGAGGACUGAACUCCUAAGAAUUAUCAAUAAAGGGUUAAUAACUUGACCUUUAGGGACUCUGGGUAAAUCAUGCUUGGAAACCCUCCACUCAGAGAGUGUCACUCAUCUGCAGCUCAGAUUUGCCCCCCUUCCCUUAUUAACUUUCAGUCAACCUCCAGCUAACAUCUAUCCGACACCCCAUCCCCCGAGUCAUCCUCUUUAUCAGCUGUAGAGCCACAAACACCCUCAUACUGGUCGGUCCAUAAAUCGGCCUCAAUCCCUCGAUGCCCAAAGGCCUGUGAGGAUGUGUCAACCAGAGUUCAGUCGCAUACUUAAGCUGUGAUGGUUUACUUAUCAAAA